rnacentral:rRNA from 1 species
UACGAAGGGGGCUAGCGUUGUUCGGAAUUACUGGGCGUAAAGCGCACGUAGGCGGGUCGUUAAGUCAGGGGUGAAAUCCCGGAGCUCAACUCCGGAACUGCCUUUGAUACUGGCGAUCUAGAGAUCGAGAGAGGUGAGUGGAAUUCCGAGUGUAGAGGUGAAAUUCGUAGAUAUUCGCAAGAACACCAGUGGCGAAGGCGGCUCACUGGCCCGGUACUGACGCUGAGGUGCGAAAGCGUGGGGAGCAAACAGG